AACGCUAGCUACAGGCUUAACACAUGCAAGUCGAGGGGUAACGAGAGGGAAGCUUGCUUUCCUUGUCGACGACCGGCGCACGGGUGAGUAACGCGUAUCCAACCUGCCCAUUACCACGGGAUACCCCGUCGAAAGGCGGCCUAAUACCGUAUGCAGUCGUCAGAUGACAUCAGAGGACGACGAAAGGAUUGGCGGUAAUGGAUGGGGAUGCGUCUGAUUAGGUAGUUGGAGGGGUAACGGCCCACCAAGCCAUCGAUCAGUAGGGGUUCUGAGAGGAAGGUCCCCCACAUUGGAACUGAGACACGGUCCAAACUCCUACGGGAGGCAGCAGUGAGGAAUAUUGGUCAAUGGACGAGAGUCUGAACCAGCCAAGUAGCGUGCAGGAAGACGGCCCUAUGGGUUGUAAACUGCUUUUAUAAGGGAAUAAAGUGAGUCUCGUGAGACUUUUUGCAUGUACCUUAUGAAUAAGGACCGGCUAAUUCCGUGCCAGCAGCCGCGGUAAUACGGAAGGUCCGGGCGUUAUCCGGAUUUAUUGGGUUUAAAGGGAGCGUAGGCCGGAGAUUAAGCGUGUUGUGAAAUGUAGACGCUCAACGUCUGCACUGCAGCGCGAACUGGUUUCCUUGAGUACGCACAAAGUGGGCGGAAUUCGUGGUGUAGCGGUGAAAUGCUUAGAUAUCACGAAGAACUCCGAUUG
rnacentral:rRNA from 1 species